rnacentral:snRNA from 1 species
GAAUGUUAGGGCUAUCUGGCUGCAAAAACUGUCACCCCAUUGAUUGCCAGGGUUGAUUCGGGCUGUACUGGCUGUCUAGGCAGGUGUCUCCUUCCUCCCUCAACACUCCACAUGUGCCCCUCCCCCACAAGGUGCGUCCAGUUGAAAAGGAUGACCUUCUCCAAUAGAGGAGGACCAGUCUUCAGUCAAGGGUAUAUGAGUAGCUGUGCUCCCCUGUUAGAACCUCCAAACAAGCUCUCAAGAAUGGAAAAAAUCUUUACCAGCUAUAUAUCUGACAGAGGAUUAGUGUCUAGAAUAUACAAAUAAUAUACAAAUAACUUUUUUUUUU